GGAGGAUGCGAGCGUUAUCCGGAUUUAUUGGGUUUAAAGGGUGCGUAGGCGGAUUAAUAGGUCAGUGGUGAAAACCUGCAGCUUAACUGUAGAAUUGCCAUUGAUACUGUUAGUCUUGAGUACGGUCAAGGUAGGCGGAAUGUGUAAUGUAGCGGUGAAAUGCUUAGAUAUUACACAGAACACCGAUUGCGAAGGCAGCUUACUGGGCCAUUACUGACGCUGAUGCACGAAAGCGUGGGGAGCGAACAGGAUUAGAUACCCUGGUAGUCCACGCCGUAAACGAUGAUCACUCGCUGUUAGCGAUACACAGUUAGCGGCUAAGCAAAAGCAUUAAGUGAUCCACCUGGGGAGUACGGCCGCAAGGCUG
rnacentral:rRNA from 1 species